rnacentral:rRNA from 1 species
GGGCAUGUGAGGGCUGUCGCUGACUCAAAGUCGUGCACGCCCGAGUGUGUCCUCUCACAUAAUAAUCCAUCUCACCCUUUGUGCAUCGCCGCGUGAGCACCCUUUGGGAUCAUCUCGGAGGGGGCUCGCGUUUUCACACAAACCCCCCUUUUAAAAGUGUAGAAUGACCUCAUUUAUGCGCUAACACGCAAUCAAUACAACUUUCAACAACGGAUCUCUUGGCUCUCGCAUCGAUGAAGAACGCAGCGAAAUGCGAUACGUAAUGUGAAUUGCAGAAUUCAGUGAAUCAUCGAAUCUUUGAACGCACCUUGCGCCCCUUGGUAUUCCGAGGGGCACACCCGUUUGAGUGUCGUGAAAACCUCAACCUCCUUGGUUUCUUCUGGAGACCAAAGGCAGGCUUGGACUUUGGAGGCCCUUGCUGGAACCUCUCUCUUUUGAAGGCCAGCUCCUCUUAAACGAAUUAGCAGGGUCCUCUUUGCCGAUCCUCGACGUGUGAUAAGAUGUUUCCAUGUCUUGGUUUCUGGCUCUGUCACUUUUGGGACCCGCUUCUAACCGUCUUGACCUUGCAUCGAGACAAUGUUCGAGCAUGUCUCCCUUCUCGGGAAGCUCCCUCGACCCCACGAACCCUUGACCUCAAAUCGGGUGAGACUACCCGCUGAACUUAAGCAUAUCAAUAAGCGGAGGAAAAGAAACUAACAAGGAUUCCCCUAGUAACUGCGAGUGAAGCGGGAAAAGCUCAAAUUUAAAAUCUGGCGGUCUUUGGCCGUCCGAGUUGUAAUUUAGAGAAGCGUCUUCCGCGCUGGACCGUGUACAAA